UUACUAGUUUAUUUAGCAUCAGAACAAUCAUGCAAGCCACUUACUAAACUUGUAGGCUUCCCACCAUCAAAGUGUAGUCUCACAGCUUAUCAGCAUUUACACGCAAGCACAACAAGCAGGUACAUUGGUCCCAAAUGCAAUGCACUGAAAUAACAAAACUUUCAGUAUUUUCUGGUUCAAAUUUGUCUCUGGUUCAUUUGCACAGUAUCAGAAAGGUUACUACACAAACAGGCUUAUCUGAAGUAAAGGUGUACAGUUAAACAAGCAGUCCAUAAACUUCUCCUUAGUGGUUAACAUCUUUGCUAGUACAAGCAAACAGUGUUGACAAUACAGGAUUUCUUAACACAUUAAGCAGGAAAAUAAGGAGUCAGAUACACAGGACACAGAGCUAACUUGAGAAAGUCUAAUAGAUAGAUAUAUGACAUUUUUCAUUUUAUUAAGAGUCCAGCCACCAUUGCUCUGAGAUCAAUGAACUUCUGUAACAGGCUUAUAAAAUAUAAACAGGCUUAUAAACAGGCUUUGUGUUACAAGUCAAUAGCACCAUUUGUCUGUCUCGGAAGCAUCAGCACGUAUUCUAACCAUGCAGCAUAUACUCUUGAAUUAACAGAAGCACAAAACUCCCUGUUUAUGGUCUGGUCCUCAUCCAGCCUCAAAGCCAAGAGCUACCAGGUGUCUUCAAACCAAGGCCAAGCCAGACACAAGCCCUUAAUGUACCACAUUUCUUCAGGUUAAAACCAGCUUAAACUGUUACUGUAUGUCUGCAGCAGCCAGCCAGACUCUGCUUGGUGCCUCUCAGGCUUGCAAGGGCAUGGUGGUAUAUAGCUCCUUGGGACUAAAAAACUUCUUCCCCCAGGUAAGACAGACACAGUAACUUGUCCCUGCUUCUCCCACUCCUUUGCAAGCUGGAUCAGCCAUCCUUGGAGUCUGAAAGACCAUCCUAUGCAUCUUCGUCUUAGGGAUUAGGGUCCACCCUCCAUCUUUCCUUCUCCUUGAGCACCUAAUCACUUCAGAGAUAAUCUUCUCACAAGCAUAGGCCUCUCAACACUGUGUAUUCUGAUUAAAAAAACCAACCCAACCCAAACCAACCAAUCAAAUAAACAAACAACCCCCCACCAACAAAAAAACCCAAACAAAACAAUCAGCCAAAGCACAAAAUAAUGUCCCUUAUGGAACAUUAAAUGAAAUUGCUGAUAUUUAAUCAGAAGGAUUAGCAUGACUCCUCAUGAAGAUGUGGUGUAAACAAGGAAGUGGUUCCCAUUGUGCAUAAUAGCUUUCAGACACAGCUGGGGGUAGCUGUCAGCAGCUAAGUCAUUUAACUGUUCUUGUUUCUAAUUACCUCCAGUAAAAAAUCUUAGUUUUAAUCCCUAUUUCCCUGCAGCCAAGAUGGUGAAGAUUUGAGCAGAGCAAACAAGGAACCCACCACUACAAUGAGGGCAGUAGGUUGGUGGUGGCAGUAGCCUGGGGCCCUCUGCAAGGUCCUGUGAUCACUGUCCUUCCCAUGUAAGAUGGCUUCUCAGGGAGGACACUGCUGUAGGAAAUCCUUCAAAGAUGUCUUUUUCUAAAUAAGCAUACAGUCCAUUUGCUUCAUAAAAUGUUUCUUGAAAAACUCCCAUUUGCCACUAAAGACUAAUCCAGGCCUCACAGCAAGCUGAGGAAGAGACUAGGAGCCAUACUAAUGGUACAAACAAAACAGCUUUGAUGUUUUACAAAUGAAAAGUGGGGUCAGUGGUGAGGUUUUUCCAUCUAGAGGUGGCUGGUGCUGGAUACCUUUGAGCUGCUUUCGUAAACAUGAGAGAUGGUGAUGUCUGGAAAAUAACAAAAAUCAGGAACCUGAGACCUUGGAGGAAAUGCUCAUAGAUUAUUUUUACCUUAUUCCCAGUCCAGAAAAAUCUAAGAAACUCUCUUUGGUGUGCUCAAUAGUAAAAUCCCCUGGUGUUUUUGCUGUGGGUGUUUACUGUUUGGUGGUACUUAUGGAUUCAUGAUGGUGCUUAUGCUUGUUCAUGUAAAGUUAGCAUUUGUAAGUAACACAAUCAUGCUUUGGGAUCUGCUUUGCUCCUAGAUAACCCUGGUUCUUGCAGGUAUGAUAGCUAUAAUUUCUCACAGUGCAACGCAGCUAUUUGGAGCUAACAUUUGGAGGGUUUUGUUGUUAAUAUCUGUGAAAAUUGUCCCUUAAUCUGGAAAGAUCCUCUCACACAGGUGCCUUUAUUACUGUGACUAAGCCAAUUGAUUUAAAUGGGCCUAAUCAUUUUGGUUAACCUCAAGCAGAAGUGUAAGAUGGAACUUAUCAGCAACAGCUCAGGUAUUUGGCUCUUAAACAGACACAGAUCUUUGCACAGUACUUGUCACACACCCUGUUUGGUUAGUUAAGUAUGGUAAUUUGAUCAGGUAAUUUGAUAAGAUCAGGUAAUUUGAUCACUGGACAUUUGCAAAACCUGCAGCUCCUCUGGCUUGUCCAGAAGGGAAAAAAAGAAUUCUUUGGGUAGGAUUAAAAUCACAUUACCUCAUCACAAGUACUGUGGUGCCCAACACUAUUUGCUUUGACGAGGGUUGGACAAGAGCCUCCCCCAGGGCUGUAGUGUUAAGAACAUGGAUGAAAAACUGUUGACUUUGUGCACAAUUAAUUUAAAUUUCUUAGAUUAAUGAAAAAGCUUUCAUUCAGAAGGAGUAGCUCAAAAGGACAUGUCAGAUGAUACUGAGGGCUGAUAUGGCAAAGCAGACUCCUAUGCACAGUUCUGUGGGUGAAUAAAUACAGCUCUGUGACUACCGGAGCAUACUGACUCUGGGAUAGAUCACGUGCCAUCUGCAGCUGUAAAUCAUGUCUAAUGGCUUGUCUCAGCUUUUGAGUUACCAGAGUAACUGCCUAAAGUCUAUAAUACAGUAAUUUCAAUUAGGAGAGCCAUUGCAGAUCCACCCAAUGUAGGAAUAAGAAUGACAGUCUUUUUUCUCUUUGAUAGACUUACCCUGUGCGUACAUAUGCAGAAGCAAUGAUUGGCUCCACCCAGUUCUGUGUUAUAAAGCAGAUCAUAAUUUACAGUUCCAGACACCAAAUGGGCCCAAAGUGUUAUGAACUGACUUCACUGUUUCUGCUGCCAAUGCACUAACUGGCAAUGCUGCAUAAAAUAAGAUACUAAGUAUGUCAACCGGUAUUACGUAAAUGAUACCAAGAAGAUCACUGAUCGUAGCACACAUGAUAUUUUUCAGAGUUCCUAAGCCUGAGGCGCUGCUUUGGACUGACAUAAACCACAUCAUCUCCAUGCAAGGAAAAAGAUGCCAUUGACAAAGGAUCUUCCUCAUACUGAGGAGCAGAGCCUGGCAUGGCUCUGUUCUUGUGCUACUUUGCUUUGAAUCCUUUAUCCCCACCAUUAGCAGUUGUAGAGCCAAAAGCAUCUACAGCAGCCUGGGUGCCUUAAUUUCCUAUUGGGAACCAAACUCAAGGAGCUGAAUUCUUUUCUGGUUCUGCCCAGUGUUUGUUGUAAAGCACCAGGCUAUUUUUGUCAGCCAGGUAUAGGCUCUUGAGAAAGGAAAUGAAAGGUGCCAGAAAACGGCAUGAGUCUAGGAAAUGGGGAAGGAAACGGGAAGCACCUCUCCCUGGGACUAUAAGAGGUAAUGACAGAUCACACCAAGGGUGGCUCACAGAAGAAUGUAUUUAUACUUCAACAAUAAAACCCAAACUCUUUUGGGAGCACAAGCAACAAAAAGAGCAGGAGCAAGACCAUCUGACAGACCCAAGGGCAAUAGUAGAUUUGUCAGGGCAGUACAGCUGCAACCUGCCAAGCAUCAGAUGGCUCUUCUCCCACUGACUGGCAGCUGACAGCUCUUCCUGGGUGCCCCACAGGGUCCAGGGACAGGGAAAAAGAUGAAGCAUAACAGGGAAUAAAAACAACAAGCCAUUUAGCCAUGAACGCAUGUUAACACUUGUUCUUGAAACUAGAGUUUCAAAGGGAAAAAACAGAGACGAUCCCUUUCCUUUAAGCUUUGCUUAUUGCCACAUAACACUCUGGCAUGCUGCAAUUUCUCAGGCAGACAGAAAAAGGUAGCUGAUACUAUGGGAUGAGCUCUGUACUACUUAGUAGGAGUGGACACAUGCUGUUUAAUAUACCUUGGCCAGUUAACGCCUUCCUGAUAUACAAGUUAAGGGUUAGUCAGUUCUUGGUCACACGUGCUGUGGAUGAAGCAUGGCUGGACAGGGGCCUCUGGUGUAGUUUAGCACAGCUCUAACCCACCACAAAAUGCUGUGCUGGUGUUGUCACCCCACUUUGGUCCGAGUCCUGAGCAUGCAAAAUGACAAGGGCACUGAAACACUCUUUUUCCAACUGCAUCUUGCUAUGAAGGAGCCAGAGCUGGGGAGAACUCUGUACCAACUGUAUUUAUUAAUCUUUCAUACCUUAAUAUCCAUUACACUGAAUUUCAUCCAGUGAUGGUCCACGUACACAAGUAUGUUAAAUGCUAUGGUUUCAGUUCCAGCUGAGUAGUGCUGGCAAAGGGCAAAAGACAGCUUAAAAGGUUACUGUGACUGUUAAUGCAGACAUGGCUCAUACAGACUGUUCAGCAGUCUCUGCCUCUCUUUUGAUAAAUUUAUAUACUUGUGUGUGCAUGUACAUAUAUAUAUUAAUAUGUAUCUAUAAUUUUAUUGAUAAGUUCAGAACAGGGCCACUUCGACUAUUCUGUUCCAUUCCUGUUUCUGCACUACACUAUGCCCACAGUAUCUGAAAGCCUUCCAAUAACGACCACGUUCAUGACUGUGUUAUGUUGUCUGUUCCACUUUAGAGGGAUAGAAGAGCAUGCAGUGCAGGUACUUUUUUAUUUUGCUUUUGAUGGAAUUUUAGUUAUAUGCAUGUACAUUGUUACAUUCUUAUAUCAGUUAGAGGAUUUACAUUCCAAUGGAUGCUCUCCAUAUUUGCACUGACCCUCCAUCAAUCUUCACUGAAUUACUCUGGCCUGAAGUUUUAUGUCCCAGACAUAAGGCAAAUUUUUGCUUAUGCAGAGAAUCUAGAGUCUUGUAAGUAAAAGUUUAUACAUAUUCUGGAACUAACAUCUUUUCAUUUCAGAUAUAACUAUACUAUGUAAUUAUUUCAAUUUUUCUCCUCUUCAUUCCUUAUCACUGUAUUUUCUUUUUAUUUUGCAAUGCAGCUGAUGGGUUUUAUUUGAUAAAACAUGGUAUUGCACAGGUGCUUAGCAGGGAAGCUAACUUUCUCUAUACAAAAGCAAAAUUAACUCUCACUACUGUGGUUGUAUGUUGUAACUGAAAGUACUCUGAAAGGGAGCAAAGGACAUUCUUUGACCUAUUACUGUUUUAUAAAGUAACUUUCAGGAUGUUCUGAGCUGUCUUUUUGUUUACCUUUAAUAUCUUCGGGACUUGCUUGUAUCCCUGC
rnacentral:lncRNA from 1 species